CGCGGCCUAUCAGCUUGUUGGUGGGGUGAUGGCCUACCAAGGCGACGACGGGUAGCCGGCCUGAGAGGGCGACCGGCCACACUGGGACUGAGACACGGCCCAGACUCCUACGGGAGGCAGCAGUGGGGAAUAUUGCACAAUGGGCGGAAGCCUGAUGCAGCGACGCCGCGUGAGGGAUGACGGCCUUCGGGUUGUAAACCUCUUUCAGUAGGGACGAAGCGCAAGUGACGGUACCUACAGAAGAAGCGCCGGCCAACUACGUGCCAGCAGCCGCGGUAAGACGUAGGGCGCGAGCGUUGUCCGGAUUUAUUGGGCGUAAAGAGCUCGUAGGCGGCUUGUCGCGUCGACUGUGAAAUCCCGCGGCUCAACCGCGGGUCUGCAGUCGAUACGGGCAGGCUAGAGUUCGGUAGGGGAGACUGGAAUUCCUGGUGUAGCGGUGAAAUGCGCAAAUAUCAGGAGGAACACCGAUGGCGAAGGCAGGUCUCUGGGCCGAUACUGACGCUGAGGAGCGAAAGCGUGGGGAGCGAACAGGAUUAGAUACCCUGGUAGUCCACGCUGUAAACGUUGGGCGCUAGGUGUGGGGGACCUCUCCGGUUCUCUGUGCCGCAGCUAACGCAUUAAGCGCCCCGCCUGGGAGUACG
rnacentral:rRNA from 1 species